UAUGUUUUAGUAUAUUACGUACAAAGAUUUUUGAUAUCUUAGGAAGUAGGCUGUUCCUGCUAAAUAUAA
rnacentral:tRNA from 1 species